ensembl:lncRNA
ACUUUAUGUCCUCUUGGCGCUCCUGUUAAAAAUAGAGAAUACAUACGUGUUGGGGGUAUAUGUGUCCACUAAAAAUUAUUUACCUCAUCAUUCUACAUAAACAUAUUUAUGAUUUUAAACCACAAAAAUCAAUCAAUAUCUAAAGAAAUGCUCUCACCAUACCUCCAUGCACCACUGCAUGGCUUAUGUGGUCCUUCAAAUGAACUGUAACAAGUAAUUUUCUUUACUGGUGAAACUGCAGCAGGGACCCCUUAACCCGGGAGAACUGCCCUGCAUCAGGCUUGGACUGAAAAUGUGUAGAAUGCUGUAAAACAUGACAAACAAACAUUAUGUGAUCUUUUCGUUAAUAUAGAAGAAUACAAAGAUAAUUUGUGACAUACACAGAGUUAUCCAGCAAGACAUUGUGAAAUGAUGCGGUUGCCCAACCAAGUUACUGUGCAUGGGUACUGUGAUCAGAGUAUAUCAUUAAAGAUGUCAUAUGUAUGUGUGUGUGUGUGUGUGUGUGUGUGUGUGUGUGUGUGUGGUUGUGGUGGUGGUGGUGGUGGGGGGGGGGGGGGUAAGUACAUAUGUGUGAGAGGGAUGAAGUGUGUGUGUCUGAGUGGGUGAGAUGAGUGUUAUGUGUGGGGGGAAGGGUAUAAAAAAAUAUUGCACAUUGAUUCAUAAUUGAUUUUAUGUUGUAAGACUUGUGCCUUCUAUCUAUCUAUCUAUCUAUCUGUCUCUCUAUCUAUCUACACAUGUAUGUAUGUAUAUAUGUAUGUAUUUGUGUGUGUGUGUGUGUACGCAUGCAUGCCACGAAUACAUACAUACAUAUAUACAUACAUGUGUGGAUAUAGACCCCCCAACAUAAAAACACUCAUCUCACCCCCCACCCCCAAACACACACACACACAUAUAUAUAAGUAUAUUUGUUGCUAGCAAUAACGUGCCUGUGUGAAGUUGAAAUUAAAAAUACUUACUGUUGUUUAUGCACAUGCACACAAAUGACGGACACGUUCUUAAAGUUGUCAACGUUUGGUAAAGAACAAAGAUAUUUUUUUUUACUUACCGACACGGCAAACAACAGCUUCUUUUUUUAGCGGUUGGCAAACAAUACAAAUUAUCUUCUUAUCGAUGCUUCUUCCUGUUUCAAAAUGAUUGAGAAUGUGACGUAUUUUGACAUGGGCGUGGUCUGUGACGUCACACUUGGAUGUGGGCCGGGUUGGACGUCCACCGCAGGCUGCAGCGAGACGCUCCUCG